rnacentral:rRNA from 1 species
ACUCCUACGGGAGGCAGCAGUGGGGAAUCUUCCGCAAUGGGCGAAAGCCUGACGGAGCAACGCCGCGUGAGUGACGAAGGCCCUUGGGUCGUAAAACUCUGUCUUCAGGGAAGAAAAAAAUGACGGUACCUGAGGAGGAAGCCCCGGCUAACUACGUGCCAGCAGCCGCGGUAAAACGUAGGGGGCGAGCGUUGUCCGGAAUUACUGGGCGUAAAGGGCGUGUAGGCGGUUCGCGAAGUC